AUGUAUCGAUGAUGUUUAAAUAUUACUGCGUUAUCUAUCUGUAAAUUCCUCAACAGGAUUUGAAGAUAAUGAAAACUUACUGAGAUCUGAUUUUAUAUCCAUUACGAGUUUAUUAUGUUAUGAUUUUUUAUGAAUUUUUUUUAAGGAAGAUUGAAAUUAGAGGGUCGAUGAUGAUAGAUUUCACUUUGUUAUCCUUGCACUUUGAUACAUAUAUGAAGAAAACUUGGGGAAAGUUAUUCUGAGAGCUUU
rnacentral:lncRNA from 1 species